CAGUGUCCUCCCGGGGGCGCAGCGGGACCCCAACACUGCCACUGCCACCCGCUCCGCCCACAGCCUGCCUCAGUUUCCCCUCGGGAUGGGCCAGCACUGGGAUGGGCUGAUAAUGGGAUAAACUGGCACUGGGAUGGGCUGGCACUGGGAUGGACUGGUAUUGGGUAAACUGGCACUGGGAUAAACUGGUAUUGGGUAAACUGGUACUGGGAUGGGCUGAUAAUGGGAUAAACUGGGAGUGGGAUGGAUUGGUACUGGGAUAAACUGGCACUGGGAUGGAUUGGCACUGGGAUGCUCCAUUACUGGGAUGGAGUGGGACUGGGAUAGGCUGGCACUGGGAUGGAUUGGCACUGGGAUGGACUGGGAUGGAUUGGCACUGGGAUGGACUGGGAUGGAUUGGCACUGGGCUGUUCCAUCACUCGGAUCUCUGGCACCAAGAUGUUCCCACACCAGGGUGAUCCCAUACUGGGAUGUUCCAUACUGGGAUGGUCCCAUACUGGGAUGCUCCAUACUGGGAUGUCCCACACUGGGAUGUUCCAUACUGGGAUGAUCCCAUACUGGGAUGUUCCAUACUGGGAUGUUCCACACUGGGAUGGUCCCAUACUGGGAUGCUCCAUACUGGGAUGCUCCAUACUGGGAUGUUGUGACACUGGCACGCUCUGAGACCAGGAUGCUCCGAUACCAGAAUGUUCCAUCAUGGGGAUGCUCUGAUACUGGGAUGAUCCCACAGCAGAAGAUCCCACAGGAGUUGAUCCCAGAGCAGCAUGAACCCACAACAGGAGAUCCCACAGCAGAAGAUCCCACAAUGGGAUGAUCCCACAGCAGGAGAUCCCACAGUAGAUCCCACAGGAGAUCCCACAGCAGGAGAUCCCACAAUGAUCCCAUAGCAGGAGAUCCCACAGCAGGAAAAACCCACAGCAGGAGAUCCCACAGCAGGAGAUCCCACAGAAGAUCCCAUAGCAGGAGAUCCCACGGGAGAUCCCACAGGAGAUCCCACAGGAGAUCCCACAGCAGGAGAUCCCACAGCAGAGGAUCCCAGAGCAGGACAACCCCACAGCAGGAGAUCCCACAGGAGAUCCCACAGCAGGAGGUCCCACAGGAGAUCCCACAGGAGAUCCCACAGGAGAUCCCACAGGAGAUCCCACAGCAGGACAACCCCACAACAGGAGAUCCCACACCAGGACGCUCCAUCCCUGCGAUGGUCCCACACCAGGAUGCUCCAUUCCGGAACGUUCCACCCUGGGGAUGCCCCAUUACUGGGAUGCCCAGAGGGAUCCAGGACCAGAAUUUUCCAACACCAGAACGUUCCAUCAGAUCCUCCAACAUUGGAAUGAUCCGAUCCCAGGAUGGCCCAUGGGACCAGAAUGCGCUGACCCCAGGAUGGUCCUGCUCCUCUGGGAUGUCCCCACUUUUGGGAUGUCCCCACUUUUGGGAUGUCCCCACUUUUGGGAUGUCCCCACCAGGAGCCCGAUGGACACGGAGUGGCCAAUCCCAAGAAUUCCUGCAAACUCCAAACCAGCCAAACGCAGGGGACACCGGGAGCAGCCAGAGUGGGGAC
ensembl:lncRNA